rnacentral:tRNA from 1 species
GCGGGUAUAGUUUAGGGGUAAAACCACUGCCUUCCAAGCAGACGUCGCGAGUUCGAUUCUCGCUACCCGCUCC